UACGAGGGGGGCAAAUGUUGUUCGGAAUCACUGGGCGUAAAGGGAGCGUAGGCGGGUUCUUAGGUUAGGUGUUUAAUCCCGGGGCCCAACCCCGGACCGGCACUUAAAACUGGGAAUCUUGAAUAGUGGAGAGGUCGGUGGAAUUGGAGGUGUAGCGGUGGAAUGCGUAGAGAUCUCCAAGAACACCAGUUGCGAAGGCGGCCGACUGGACACAUAUUGACGCUGAGGCUCGAAAGCAUGGGGAGCAAACAGG
rnacentral:rRNA from 1 species